rnacentral:tRNA from 1 species
AGGGGGUAUGGCGGAAUUGGUAGACGGUACGGACUUAAAAUCCGUUGGCUUUAUUGACCGUGAGGGUUCAAGUCCCUCUACCCCCA